UUUAUUUAUUUUUUUUUUUUUACCUCCAAAAUGAAGGCUAAAAUACAGAAAACUUCUAUGUAAAUACCAGUAUUUUUCAUUUUUUUUCUGACUUUCAUAAAUUUAUAUUUAUUCCCUUAAAAUUUCAAGUUGAUUCAUUCAGCCGUCCUCCCGCAGAAUUUCAUCACUAUUCCGUUUAUUUCUUAUAUAAUUUGUACCAGAAAUAUCAUUAAAAUGAAAAAAGUAUACUAAAAAUUUUUUUUUUCUUUAUAAAGCAAAUAAAGACAAUUUAGUCAUUCCAACCUCUCUAUUAAUACUGUAAUUCAUCUAAAAUUAUUUUUCAAAUUUUAAGAGGACAAAAUAUACGUUUUUAAAAGUCAGGAGAAAGCUAAAAAAAUUUAUGUAUUUAUAAAAAAUUUUUCUAUAUUUUAGUCGAAACUGAACAAUUCAAUAUGUUCUGUCAAAAGAACUUUUUCUUUUUUAGGUCCUAUUUGCUUCCUCGCAUUUUUAAGAUUCUCGGGAAAGGAUAUUAGAAGGCGACAAUUAUUAUAUGUUGUUCGUGUGGACCGUAAGUAGUAACCAACUAUCCCAAAAACAUGUGCUGAUAGAAAGAGCGAACCCAUUACACUUAAGGGUUUAGCCACAAUGCUCCCGAGCUUCGAUCUGACUCAACCUAUCUGGACAUUGGAUCUAUUGUUGGCCCUCUUGCCAUUAGGUCUCUUAUGAAUCACAAAUCAACUCAACUUAUUAGGCUCACCCAACUCAACUUAUUAGUCUCUUGGGCCUAUUGUCACAGGGCAAAAAAUUGGACUCACUUUAGCCCAAUAAUACAUAGCCGACAGUUCAUUAUAAAAAUUUGGCGUGGCAAGAAUUUAUAAUUUUUUCAGUAUUUUAUAUUUAUACAGAAUGUGAGAGUUCAAAAUUCACCUUUUAGCUUUGUAAAUUUUCUUUUUGCACUUCGAAGUUUUAUUUCAAUGAAGCGAUUUGUUGGUUGAUUUUUGUCACCCCAAUCAACAUAAAAUGAUUCGAAACGAGCAAUUCCCGUAUUGAAAGCAAAUACAAGAACUAUGAAGUGCGUGACACUCUAGUUCUUAAACUUUAAUUUCUCAAAAUUUCUGGUUCUAACUUUUGAAAUUAUUGUAAUCAAAGCUGGCAAUCUAAUUUAGUUAACUAGAUACUAAUAAGUUGCUGAAGAGAUAAUAAUUUAGCAUCUUAAUUAUUAUCGCGUCAUCAAUCAUAAUACUAAUAUAUUACUGUCACAUUAGCGACACAUCAGUAUUUAGUCAACUAAAUUGGAUCGGGAGAGUUUCAUGCAACAAUCUAGGAAAU
rnacentral:lncRNA from 1 species